rnacentral:rRNA from 1 species
AGCUAACGCAUUAAGUGUACCGCCUGGGGAGUACGGUCGCAAGAUUAAAACUCAAAGGAAUAGACGGGGACCCGCACAAGCGGUGGAGCAUGUGGUUUAAUUCGAAGAUACGCGAAGAACCUUACCUGGGCUUGAUAUCCUAAGAACCUUAUAGAGAUAUGAGGGUGCUAGCUUGCUAGAACUUAGAGACAGGUGCUGCACGGCUGUCGUCAGCUCGUGUCGUGAGAUGUUGGGUUAAGUCCCGCAACGAGCGCAACCCACGUAUUUAGUUGCUAACGGUUCGGCCGAGCACUCUAAAUAGACUGCCUUCGUAAGGAGGAGGAAGGUGUGGACGACGUCAAGUCAUCAUGGCCCUUAUGCCCAGGGCGACACACGUGCUACAAUGGCAUAUACAAUGAGACGCAAUACCGCGAGGUGGAGCAAAUCUAUAAAAUAUGUCCCAGUUCGGAUUGUUCUCUGCAACUCGAGAGCAUGAAGCCGGAAUCGCUAGUAAUCGUAGAUCAGCCAUGCUACGGUGAAUACGUUCCCGGGUCUUGUACUCACCGCCCGUCACACCAUGGGAGUUGAUUUCACUCGAAGCCGGAAUACUAAACUAGUUACCGUCCACAGUGGAAUCAGCGACUGGGGUGAAGUCGUAACAAGGUAACCGUAGGAGAACCUGCGGUUGGAUCACCUCCUUU